rnacentral:rRNA from 1 species
UACGUAGGGGGCGAGCGUUGUCCGGAGUACUGGGCGUAAAGCGCACGCAGGCGGUCUGCUAAGUUUGGAGUGACAGUUGGUGGCUUAACUGCCAAAGUGCUUCGAAAACUGACAGACUUGAGGGCUUCAGAGGACCAUGGAAUUUCGGGUGUAGCGGUGGAAUGCGUAGAUAUCCGAAAGAACACCGGUGGCGAAGGCGGUGGUCUGGGCCUGAACUGACGCUGAG